AACGCACAUUGCGCCUUCUGGUAUUCCGGGAGGCAUGCCUGUUUGAGCGUCAGCAAAAACCCUUCAGCAGACUUUUUGUUUGUUAGGUAUUGAGCAUGGAGGAAAAGAACUUUAAUGUUCUGCUCCUGCUUUAAACUUGCUGCACGACCGCAAGCUAUUGCUAGGUCUAUGGAAGUGGUAUUUUCAUAUUUUUCCAAUACGAUUAAGCUAGCUUUGUGGCGUUAAACCAAUGUUGCCCACUAAAGCAACUGAAGUUUGACCUCAAAUCAGACAAGGAUACCCGCUGAACUUAA
rnacentral:misc_RNA from 1 species